GGAGGUGGGGCGGGUGCCGCCGAGGUAGCCACGCAGCCCCUGUGCGCCUCCGGCCCGGCCCAGCGACCUCCUCUCGGGCCUGCCGUUACCCGGUCCCCUCCUGCCACCACCCGCUACCCGGCCACCCCGAGUCCGCCUGGGGUGGCCGAACGUAUGGAGCUGGGCUCCAGGGUGCACGGGGAUGGGGGGUGAGGAGCGGGGCGUUCUCCCUCCCAGCACCCCCCAGCUGACUCUGUGCCCGGAGGGGGUGUGUGAGCCGGAACCUCCAGCAUUCUUGGGGAUACGAACUUCCAACGCUGGGCAGCCUCUUAAGGCUUCUAGGAAUUCGCAUCCCCAGCGCCCCAGCCAGCAGAUCGGUUGCGAGAGGGACCGUUCGGGUCCGCGGGGCCGGGAAUGGAGGUGGGAGGGCGGGGCCGAGGCGGCGGCCGCCUGCGGACUGGAGACCCGGGAGGACGGACGCGGACGCGGGCUGCUCGUCUUUUACGGCCCUUCAACGCCCACCACGACCCACUCCUCUUGGAGACCCCGGGCGACGGUGGGGCUCUUGGGCAUUCUGAGACUGCGCUUGGUGGAGACCCCGGGCGACGGUGGAGCUCUUGGGCAUUCUGAGACUGCGCUUGGUGGAGCCCCCUACUGGCCAGACUGGAUUUCUCAGCCUGCGACUCAGCCCCAGGCUACACGAAAGAAGCCAGACCUGGCUUUUACUGCCUCCUGAGGCCUUCGUCUUGUUCACACUGAGUGUCCAGUCCCUCCAAAUCCGGCUACACUCUACUGGCAAGGAGCACCUGGGCCAUGUUUUAGAGAUCAUCCGAGGACUAACCCCAAAAGUUUAUGAAGAGAAAGCAGAGGCCGAGCUGAAGAGAUGGACCCGGGUCACACCCAGGUAAAGGCAGGAUCUAAACUGAAACUGGUGUCAGAUCUGGUUGCCUUGCACCCCUGAUAUCAGGUGAAGCAACACUGGGCAGGAUAGAGCAGAGUGAGGUCAGAGUGUGAAGAUCCAGCCUGAUGCCCAAACUGACGCCUCUUCAUUCUCCCCUGCUCCAUCUGUAAACGUCACGGUUAAUCCAUCUACUUUAUUGCAUUAUAUAGAGAAAUAAAUGAAAUGUCAUAGCUGUA
rnacentral:lncRNA from 1 species